rnacentral:rRNA from 1 species
ACUCCUACGGGAGGCAGCAGUGGGAAUAUUGCGCAAUGGGGGCAACCCUGACGCAGCCAUGCCGCGUGUGUGAAGAAGGCCUUCGGGUUGUAAAGCACUUUCAGUGGGGAGGAAAGGGCCACGGCGAAUACCCGUGGCAGUUGACGUUACCCACAGAAGAAGCACCGGCUAACUCCGUGCCAGCAGCCGCGGUAAUACGGAGGGUGCGAGCGUUAAUCGGAAUUACUGGGCGUAAAGCGCGCGUAGGCGGUUUGUUAAGUCGGAUGUGAAAU